rnacentral:rRNA from 1 species
AACGAACGCUGGCGGCAGGCUUAACACAUGCAAGUCGAGCGCCCCGCAAGGGGAGCGGCAGACGGGUGAGUAACGCGUGGGAAUCUACCCAUCUCUACGGAAUAACGCAUGGAAACGUGUGCUAAUACCGUAUACGUCCUUCGGGAGACAGAUUUAUCGGAGAUGGAUGAGCCCGCGUUGGAUUAGCUAGUUGGUGGGGUAACGGCCUACCAAGGCGACGAUCCAUAGCUGGUCUGAGAGGAUGAUCAGCCACACUGGGCCUGCGACACGGCCCAGACUCCUACGGGAGGCAGCAGUGGGGAAUAUUGGACAGUGGGCGCAAGCCUGAUCCAGCCAUGCCGCGUGAGUGAUGAAGGCCCUAGGGUUGUAAAGCUCUUUCACCGGUGAAGAUAAUGACGGUAACCGGAGAAGAAGCCCCGGCUAACUUCGUGCCAGCAGCCGCAGUAACAC